rnacentral:tRNA from 1 species
UAGCUCAGUGGUUAAAGUGUCUGCCUGCAAUGCAGGAGACCCGGGUUCAAUCCCUGG